CUGUGAGGGUGUAUGUUUGUUUGUUCAAUAUCGUGGCAUGAUGAUUCAAAAUGACAUCAUUCGAAGAUAUAUUAAAUCACUGGAUUAUCUGGAUAUAACAGGCAUAUAAAAAACUAUAUACCGGCGACUUUAUUAUAAUAUAUGUAUGUUUCGUAUUUGGAAUAUAGCGCUUGAUUUAUGGUUAAAUCAUUCCAACUCACAAUAUAAAUUUUUUAAACACAAAAUUCGACAUUUUCCCAAUUUUCCUUCCUUGUCAUCUAGUCUCUAC